UUUUGUCAAACUUAAAAUUUUCUCCUCCAAAGAAUACUAUCAAAAUAUUUGAAAAGGAAUUGGAAGAAUAUUUCAUUUCUGGAAGAAUAUUUCUUUUUGGGAAUCUAGCUGCGAAAACUACACGGAAUAUUAAUAUUUUUGCCUUCUGGGCGAACUACCGCCAAUGGACACUUUAUUCGAUUUUUCCAUUAUCUGCUGAGAUUAAAAGACGAAAAUCAACAUUGGCUGCCAGAAAUAUCGGCGUUACGAAGAAUUAGAAUUGUUCUCAUACCGGAAAUUAACGUAUCGCAUUUUUGAAGAUUCUUAAACAAUUCCCAACAAACUGUUGAAAUAUUAAGGCGGCCUUUCCUGCAUUUCAUCAUUUGCUAUCAGAAUCUCAAAACACACUCGAGUAUUACAUCAUCUAAAUGGUCGUGACAUAUGAAAUUAAUUUUGAUUUUAUCUGUUUGGGAAUAGUUGGUUUGAUUUCUAAAAUUGCCAUUGAAGAUUACUCCCACAUGGGCAAUUUGAUUUAGUACAGAAGAUUCGGAUCAUGAGUUGUGUGGUUUCAUUGGCGUUCGGUUUGAUGGUAAUGAAAGGCUGGAUACCGUCUCCCGAGAAUAUUGGUUGGAAAUGUGGACUCACCAUACUGAUAUGCGGGGCCAUAUCGUGAAAUACAAAAUUAGCCAGUGAAUUAAAAACCCGUUCGGAGUAUUACUGUAGUGAUCUAAUACCGUCACCUGUAUUUGGAAUUUACCAUUCCCUGACAACAUCGGUGGGGUGAAACCCAUAUAUGCGGGCUAUACCUAAAUAUAUACCUAUAUUAAAAAUCUUA